CUUUAAUGGUUGCUGACAGCUAGCAUCCUUGGUGACCAUAGGCAUGUUUUGUGUUUCUCUUGCACAGAUCUGGUUGCAAGAUGAGCUGGAAGUGAGUGCCUGGACUGGGCUACACACCACUGGCAAAGGUCUGUGGCACUGGGCUGACGGGAGUCCCUUCAACAAAGCUUUGCAACGCUUCAUUUUCUCCCAGGGAACCUUUGGGAGGAUGAUCUGCAUGCUUGCUCUGAGUUCUGGCUUGCUGAAGGCUGAGCCGUGCCACAGACCUCACCGGUGGAUAUGCCAGGCCCCACGCCAGAUUGAUUUAUAUACGAAGUUCCCAGGAAAAUCCUUCUAUGGUGACCUGUCUGUGGAGGGGAGCUUCCCUUCCCUGCUGGCCGCUGAGCAGCAAUGCACGGCUUUGGGCCAGGGCUGUGACAUCCUCCUUAGCAGCAAAGGGGACUAUUACCUUGCCGUGGGGACACGCUUUGUCUCCCUGGACGACACAGAGGCCAGCGCAGCAACUGCUAUCCAUGUCAAGACGAGAUGCUCCCCUGGCUAUUCAGGGGAUGACUGUCAAUCUGCAUGCUGCCACUGCACGCCAGGCCUGAGUUGCAAUCCCCUGACAGGCCUCUGCGAUGGCUUCCUGGUGUACCAGGAGGAAACAGCUUGUUCCCCAGGCUUUUGUGGGCUGCACUGCCAGACGCGCUGUCCCCCGUGCUUGAGAACACACACCUACAACCCCCUGACUGGCCAGUGCGAUGGCCUCCUGAGCUGCGUGCGUCACUUCAGCCCUGCCUGUCUUCACGGUAAGGGGUGCCUGCGCUUGAGGUCAUUUUCACCAC
rnacentral:lncRNA from 1 species